AUGUACCCUUUGGCUUGGGCAGUUGUUGAAAAAGAGAACAAUGAUAGUUGGGACUGGUUUUGUUCUUUACUUUUCAGAGAUGUGAAUGUGCUAGAUGGUGAAGGUUGGGUGAUUAGAUGCAGGAAAUGCAAGUGCACUGGUCACAAUAAAACUACAUGUCCAGGAAAUGCCACUUCAAGUUCAAAUGGAGCAGCUACUGUUGGACAAAAUGCAGCUUCAGGAAAUGCCGCUAGAUCAUUUACCAAGUCCAGAAGCAAUGCAAAAGCCUCCAAGAUGUCUAGUUCCCAGGUACAAUACACAUAA
rnacentral:rRNA from 1 species